rnacentral:rRNA from 1 species
GACGAACGCUGGCGGCGUGCCUAACACAUGCAAGUCGUGCGAGAAAGUUCCUUCGGGAGCGAGUAAAGCGGCGCACGGGUGAGUAACACGUAGGUAACCUGCCCCCCCAGUCUGGAACAACUAGAGGAAACUCUAGCUAAUGCCGGAUGAGACCACGAUCCCUUCGGGGGUUGCGGCCAAAGAUGGCCUCUACUUGUAAGCUAUCGCUGAGGGAUGGGCCUGCGGGGCCCAUUUAGCUUGUUGGUGAGGUAACGGCUCACCAAGGCUGUGAUGGCUAGCUGGUCUGAGAGGAUGACCAGCCACACUGGGACUGAGACACGGCCCAGACUCCUACGGAGGCAGCAGUGGGGAAGUAUUGUCGCAAU